UUUUAUUUUUCCGUAUCCAACGUUUGACCAUUCGUUUUAUUUGAAAAAUUUAUACAAAAACUUAAAAAAAUUAGCUACGUAUAAAAUACUAUUCAUAUUUUACCAUCUAGUAACAAUAAAAAUAUUAAUCAUAAAAAUAAUUCAAAUAAGACGAAUUGUCAAACGUCGGACACGGAAAAACGAAAAAUGAGGUUAUU
rfam:Oryza brachyantha chromosome 12, whole genome shotgun sequence.